GCUCGAGCUGUUGUGGGGUCCGUGCGGGAGUCGGGGUGGCAGAGCCAUGGUCGGGCAACUGAGCGAGGGGGCCAUUGCGACCAUCAUGCAGCAGGGGGAUACAUCCAUAAAGCCCAUCCUCCAAGUCAUCAACAUCCCUCCCAUUACUAUGGGGAAUAGUCUUCCAUGUUAUCGACUGCUUGUGAGUGAUGGAUUGAACCCUCUAUCCUCUUUCAUGUUGGCAACACAGUUGAACCCCCUUGUGGAGCAAGAACAACUGUCCAGCAACUGUGUUUGCCAGAUUAACUGAUUUAUCGUGAACACUUUGAAAGACGGAAGGAGAGUAGUUAUUUUGAUGGAAUUAGAAGUUUUGAAGUCAGCUGAAGUAGUUGGAGUAAAGAUUGGCAAUCCAGUGCCCUAUAAUGAAGGACACGGGCAGCCACAAGCAGCUCCUCCAGUGUCAGCAGGCAGCCCAGCGGCAAGCAGCAAGCCCCAGCAAUAGCACGGAAGCUCCGGAGCGGGUUCCACUGUUUCUAAGGCUUAUGGUGCUUCAAAGACAUUUGGAAAAGCUGGAGGUCCCAGCCUGUCAAACACUUCUGGGGGAACACAGUCCAAAGUGGUGCCCAUUGCCAGCCUCACUCCUUACCAGUUCAAGUGGACUAUUUGUGCUCAUGUUACCAACAAAAGUCAGAUCUGUACCUGGAGCAACUCCCGAGGGGAAGGGAAGCGUUUCUCUCUGGAACUGGUUGAUGAAAGUGGUGAAAUCAGAGCUACAGCUUUCAACGAGCAAGUGGACAAGUUCUUUCCCCUUAUUGAAGUGAACAAGGUGUAUUAUUUCCCAAAAGGCACCCUGAAGAUUGCUAACAAACAGUUCACAGCUGUUAAAAAUGACUUCGAGAUGACCUUCAAUAACGAGACUUCCGUCAUGCCCUGUGAAGACGGCCAUCAUUUACCUACGGUUCAGUUUGAUCUCACGGGGAUUGAUGACCUCGAGAACAAGAUGAAAGACUCACUUGUAGAAAUCAUGGGGAUCUGCAAGAGCUACGAAGAUGCCACUAAAAUCACAGUGAGGUCUAACAACAGAGAGGUUGCGAAGAGGAAUAUCUACUUAAUGGACACAUCCAGGAAGGUGGUGACUGCUAUGCUGUGGGGGGAAGAUGCUGAUAAAUUUGAUGGUUCUAGGCAGCCCGUAUUGGCUAUCAAAGGAGCCAGAGUCUCUGAUUUCGGUGGACGGAGCCUCUCCGUGCUGUCUUCAAGCACUAUCAUUGCGAAUCCUGACAUCCCGGAGGCCUAUAAGCUUCGUGGUUGGUUUGACGCAGGACAAGCCUUAGACGGUGUUUCCAUCUCUGAUCUAAAGAGCGGCAGUGUUGGAGGGGGCAACACCAACUGGAAAACCUUGUACGAGGUCAAAUUCGAGAACCUGGGCCAAAGCAACAAGCCGGACUACUUCAGUUCUGUGGCCACAGUGGUGUAUCCUCACAAAGAGAACUGCAUGUACCAAGCCUGCCCGACUCAGGAAUGCAAUAAGAAAGUGAUUGAUCAACAGAACGGAUUGUACCGCUGUGAGAAGUGCGACACCGAAUUUCCCAAUUUCAAGUACCACAUGAUCCUGUCAGUAAAUAUUGCAGAUUUUCAAGAGAAUCAGUGGGUGACUUGUUUCCAGGAGUCUGCUGAAGCUAUCCUUGGACAAAAUGCUGCUUAUCUUGGGGAUUUAAAAGAUAAGAAUGAACAGGCAUUUGAAGAAGUUUUCCAGAAUGCCAACUUCCGAUCUUUCAUAUUCAGAGUCAGGGUCAAAGUAGAGACCUACAACGAAGAGUCUCGAAUUAAGGCCACUGUGAUGGACGUGAAGUCGGUGGACUACAGAGAGUACGGCCGAAGGCUGGUCCUGAGCAUCAGGAGAAGCGCGUCGAUGUGAGGAGAGCAGUGCCGAUUGGGCAGAAGUUUGCAAAUAAAGAGCCAGAAUAGAAUCGAUUUCCUCCCACCUCUGUGUGACGAUCCCAUGUUGGCUACUCAGCACAGAAGCUGUCUAUGGUGGACUAAGCAAUUUCCUCUCUUGUGUACAUCUCAGAACCCAUCAGUAGGCAAAGGAAAAUAUGUGCGGGUGGCUGUGGUGUAGACCGUGUCAGGCCUA